CAGUAGCCGCGGUAAUACGUAGGGUGCGAGCGUUGUCCGGAAUUACUGGGCGUAAAGAGCUCGUAGGCGGUUUGUCGCGUCGUCUGUGAAAUUCUGCAGCUUAACUGUAGGCGUGCAGGCGAUACGGGCAGACUUGAGUACUACAGGGGAGACUGGAAUUCCUGGUGUAGCGGUGAAAUGCGCAGAUAUCAGGAGGAACACCGGUGGCGAAGGCGGGUCUCUGGGUAGUAACUGACGCUGAGGAGCGAAAGCGUGGGUAGCGAACAGGAUUAGAUACCCGAGUAGUCCCUGUCUCUUAUAC
rnacentral:rRNA from 1 species